rnacentral:lncRNA from 1 species
CUCCGCCGUAGCGUGCGCUCCUGGUAGCGCUGCGAUCAGCUUUUCAGCAAUACCCGGAUGGAAGUGUAAUGGCCGCCAUCAGGGACUCGCAGGCAAUGGGGACUACGACAGAUAUCAUCUCUUCUUUUGAUCACUGUUCCUGAUUGUGACAUUGUGCAAGUGUUAAAUUGUGUGCCUUUUGUUCCUGAAGAAAGAGUUGGUGCUAACAAUCCCCUACUCUGGCCUCUGGACCUAGCUUGAAGUUCCGGAUUAAUUUCCUUCUUCCUUGUACCUCAGCCUGAGCCUUCUGUCACCCAAAGUGUUCCAGCUUUUUUU